UACGUAGGUGGCAAGCGUUGUCCGGAUUUACUGGGCGUAAAGAGCGCGCAGGCGGCUGGUCAAGUCCGAUGUGAAAUCUCCCGGCUUAACUGGGAAACUGCAUCGGAAACUGAUCGGCUUGAAGGUGGGAGAGGGUAGUGGAAUUCCCGGUGUAGUGGUGAAAUGCGUAGAUAUCGGGAGGAACACCAGUGGCGAAGGCGGCUCACUGGACCGGUAUUGACGCUGAGGUGCGAAAGCGUGGGGGAGCAAACAGG
rnacentral:rRNA from 1 species